GAGGGUAUAGCUCAAGUAGUAGAGCGCAUGCUUAGCAUGCAGGCGGUCCUGGGUUCCAUUCCCAGUACCGCCU
rnacentral:tRNA from 1 species